GCAUUCAUGUAGAGUCAUAUUUUGUUCUAGGUAUCGAGUUGUAGUUUUUAUUUCUUUUGAGUUAUCAGUAAAUAGAAGUGUGAUGAUCAUCGUUAUUCAUCAUUACAGCAUGUUCCAGUGAGGACAGGAUGACGGAGACUAUGAUUCCCCCACAAGUCGGGAUGAGACUCCGGACAAUGAGAGAAAAAAAUAUAAAAAGAAAA
rnacentral:lncRNA from 1 species